ensembl:lncRNA
GUGUCCAUCUUUCAAGCGGUUGUCUCAUCGAAGCGAAUUUAACAGUGGAGCUGGAGAAUGUUUCCAUUGCUCACGCUGGACUGUAAUUGAAAGGAACAGAGAAAAGGAUCAUCUGGACUUGCUAACACCCAAGACGAGAACUUGGAUUGAUGAGAUGAAAGAGGUGAGCAAUGUUUUAGUUCCACUUUAAUUGCUGUUUAAAAUGAAAAGAAACAAUAAGGCCUCACUCUGUUCUGGGCUCCAAGGAAAGCACCGAACGUGGGGUAAACGUGGUCACCCUGGACCAGAAAUGGGCCUGAUUUCACCACAGCGGAGUUGGUUGCACAUCACAACAGCAGUUUGGCAGAAAUGACAAAGCUGGUGUCACUCUUCAACCCUGGAGAAUCCAGAAUAUGUUCCAGUGCCUCAACAACUCAAGCAGUGAGUUUGUCCUCAUCUCAUGGGAUACAUUGGAACAUGGAUCACAUGCCUGAGAACGAAAGGAAAGGACACACAGCAGCCUGGGAAAGGAAACAGACGUCCAGAGGCUCAGUGGCUGUCAUUGCGAAAGAAUAUUCCCACUCUUAUUAACGUCAAGAGUUUCUGUGACUGCGUGCGUCUUUCUCACAGCACAGGCUCUCUAGACACUUCAACUGAUCUUCCAGCGUAAGCAGGUCAUGCAAUCUGAGGGGCUGCUCCAAAGGCAAGAAUUCUGCAGGAAUGGAGAGAAUCGAGUCCUCUGUGAUUUCUGCCUGUUUCAUCACGUGUUUAGCGUUCGCAGGCUUGGUGGGAAUGGGGAAGGCCUGGUCGGCGCCAGAAAAGUGUAGGAGACUUCCAUGUGACAAAGUCACUUUUGAUGCCACUGUUUAUGAAUCUUGUGUUGAGCCGUUCACUCAGACCAUGGCAAACACUGACUACCAACUCAGAUGUCCCUGGCCAAGCACUAGAAGAGGCUACGUCGACCUGACGCUGUGUCUGGAGGAUCUGGCUAACUCCACAUGCUGUACAGACGCUUCCUACAGACACUGCAUGCUGCUGGACAUCCAUAAGAUUUAUUUCUCCAUGUGCUCAUAUAUGCAGGACCCAGGUAUUCCCAUCCUGCUGCUGCUCAUCAUGCCCUGUGUCAUCAUCCCAUUCAUUAUACCAUUCCUCUGCCAGUACUACAAACUGCACGAGUACAGACUGCCAAAGAACUAA